GACGAACGCUGGCGGCGUGCUUAACACAUGCAAGUCGAACGGAAAGGCCCUGCUUUUGUGGGGUGCUCGAGUGGCGAACGGGUGAGUAACACGUGAGUAACCUGCCCUUGACUUUGUGAUAACUUCAGGAAACUGGGGCUAAUACCUGAUAGGAGCUCCUGCUGCAUGGUGGGGGUUGGAAAGUUUCGGCGGUUGGGGAUGGACUCGCGGCUUAUCAGCUUGUUGGUGGGGUAGUGGCUUACCAAGGCUUUGACGGGUAGCCGGCCUGAGAGGGUGACCGGCCACAUUGGGACUGAGAUACGGCCCAGACUCCUACGGGAGGCAGCAGUGGGGAAUAUUGCACAAUGGGCGGAAGCCUGAUGCAGCAACGCCGCGUGCGGGAUGACGGCCUUCGGGUUGUAAACCGCUUUCGCCUGUGACGAAGCGUGAGUGACGGUAAUGGGUAAAGAAGCACCGGCUAACUACGUG
rnacentral:rRNA from 1 species